AACGAACGCUGGCGGCAGGCUUAACACAUGCAAGUCGAGCGCCUCGCCAGAGGAGCGGCAGACGGGUGAGUACCGCGUGGGAACGUACCCUUAUCUUCGGAAUAGCUCUGGGAAACUGGAAGUAAUACCGAAUGUGCCCUUAGGGGGAAAGAUUUAUCGGAUAAGGAUCGGCCCGCGUUGGAUUAGCUAGUUGGUGGGGUAAAGGCCUACCAAGGCGACGAUCCAUAGCUGGUCUGAGAGGAUGAUCAGCCACAUUGGGACUGAGACACGGCCCAAACUCCUACGGGAGGCAGCAGUGGGGAAUAUUGGACAAUGGGCGCAAGCCUGAUCCAGCCAUGCCGCGUGAGUGAUGAAGGCCUUAGGGUUGUAAAGCUCUUUCACCGGAGAAGAUAAUGACGGUAUCCGGAGAAGAAGCCCCGGCUAACUUCGUG
rnacentral:rRNA from 1 species